rnacentral:lncRNA from 1 species
GCAGUGAGCAGAGAUUGCGCCACUGCACUCCAGCCUGGGGGACAGAGCGAGACUCCGUCUGAAAAAAAAAAAAAAUUCAUUAACAGUACAUUUAAAAUUUCUGUUACUGGAGAUUGUAUUUCUCAUUCCAUCCAUUAAUGUGCAGCUUCAAUGUUUUCCCCCAGAUAUGCAAUUUCACUUACAGGAUCUUGUUCUUCAGUGACAUGUCAUAAGAGUUAAUAAUUCCACAAGCCACCCUGCACUGCUGUGAUCCUAACAAUAUUGAAAGAGUCUUGCUCUGUCGCCCAGGCUGGAGUGAGGAAGCCCUAAUAUAUAAUCUUCAGUCAACUGUUAAUCUGGAAGCCUCACCACAUUGCUUUUUGGAUUAGCAGAAUGCCAUCCUGGGGAAUCCCAGCAGAAAGGAAGAAAGGAGCACUGU